UACGUAGGGUCGCAAGCGUUAUCCGGAAUUAUUGGGCGUAAAGAGCUCGUAGGCGGUUUGUCGCGUCUGCUGUGAAAACUGGAGGCUCAACCUCCAGCCUGCAGUGGGUACGGGCAGACGUAGAGUGCGGUAGGGGAGAUUGGAAUUCCUGGUGUAAGCGGUGGAAUGCGCAGAUAUCAGGAGGAACACCGAUGGCGAAGGCAGAUCUCUGGGCCGUAACUGACGCUGAAGGAGCGGAAAGCGUGGGGGAGCGAACAGG
rnacentral:rRNA from 1 species